AUGUCCAACGACAUCAAAUUCAUCUGGACUCUCCUGCUCUGUAUUACAGCAUGCAGUAGUCAGAUUAUUGUGACUCAGACUCCAGCAGUGACAGCCGUUCUUGUGGGACAAACCAUCACACUCGACUGCAGGACCAGCAUAAGAAUUGAUCCAUCAUGGUGUGGCGGCUGUCUCUCCUGGUACCUCCAGAAACCUGGAGAAGCUCCUAAGCUGUUAAUGUAUAACAUAAACUCGCGCUAUGGAUCAACUCCCAGUCGCUUUGUUGGUGGAGGAGCCGGUGGUGGCAGUGACUACACUCUGACCAUCGGUGAUGUCCAGGCUGAGGAUGCAGGAGUUUACUACUGUCAGAGUUACCAUAGGGGCAAUGUGUUCACACAGUGA